rnacentral:RNase_P_RNA from 1 species
CAAGCAAGGGCACCGUCGCUGGGACGUUGGUCCCAGAGGAACUUCCCGACUCCCGGCCCUUCAUGGGCGAGGUCACUGGACGAAACAGUAAGUCCAGGCAGGGACAUCCCUGACGACAACUGCAACAGAGAACAAACCAGCCAUCGGGCCGGACCCCUAACUGGUCGGCCUGCGGGUGAUGGGUGAAAAGGUGGUGUAAGAGACCACCAGCAUUGUCGGUGACGGCAAUGGCUAGGUGAAUGUCUGACUGGGAGCAAGGCAAGCGGGGCGGGCUGCCUAGGGGCAAUCCGCUCUUGCCGCAGUGACGACGCCAGGGGGGAUAACUCCCCUGCCGGCAGUCGUCACCCGGGCCACCGGCUCGGAGACAGAUGACGGUUCGAACAGAAUCGGGAGUACACCUGCUUGUCCA